GAUGAAGAACGCAGCGAAAUGCGAUAAGUAGUGUGAAUUGCAGAAUUCAGUGAAUCAUCGAAUCUUUGAACGCACAUUGCGCCCUUUGGUAUUCCAAAGGGCAUGCCUGUUCGAGCGUCAUUUGUACCCUCAAGCUUUGCUUGGUGUUGGGCGUCUUGUCUCUAGCUUUGCUGGAGACUCGCCUUAAAGUAAUUGGCAGCCGGCCUACUGGUUUCGGAGCGCAGCACAAGUCGCACUCUCUAUCAGCGAAGGUCUAGCAUCCAUUAAGCCUUUUUUUCAACUUUUGACCUCGGAUCAGGUAGGGAUACCCGCUGAACUUAAGCAUAUCAAUAAGCGGAGGA
rnacentral:misc_RNA from 1 species